UAGUACUCCUGUCUCUCAGGCAGGACCGUAAAACACUGCAAACAGGAGGAAGCAGGAAGAAGUCACCCAUGAAGUCCUUGCCCCUGAUAAAAAACAAAACUCAUCCGGCCUCUGAAGUCAUAAUAGUUCUUGCAGCUUGGAGUGUGCCGCCAUCCUCCCCAAACACAUCUCGACUCUGAAAGUGACCCUAUGAAGGCUAUGACUGCUAAGCAGCAGGCAGAACAGGCAACCAUGGAGAAGAUUGUAUGCUGAGAUGGAAGACCCAAAAGAUUGAAGCAGCCUGGAUAACUCGGGUACCACACAGAGGACAACUGCCCUAGAGAGUUGCCUUGACCCGCAAAAGACAUUGCCUGAGAUGAAAAUAAACUUUUAUUGUGUUAAA
rnacentral:lncRNA from 1 species